rnacentral:rRNA from 1 species
UCCUACGGGAGGCAGCAGUAAGGAAUAUUGGUCAAUGGAGGCAACUCUGAACCAGCCAUGCCGCGUGCAGGAAGACGGCCCUAUGGGUUGUAAACUGCUUUUGUACCAGAGAAAACCCUCUUACGUGUAGGAGGUUGACAGUAUGGUAAGAAUAAGCAUCGGCUAACUUCGUGCCAGCAGCCGCGGUAAGACGAAGGAUGCAAGCGUUAUUAAUC